rnacentral:rRNA from 1 species
CCCGAAAACAAAAGCGAGCUACCCUUAUUCAUAUGUUAGUAUAGAACGUGUAGCACAACUUUAUAGAAUUAAGGUUAGGGGUGAAAGGCCAACAAGUUUUGUGAUAACUUGAUACUCUUGAAAAACAACAGUGUAUUUUUAAUUAAGUAGUGAUUAGGCUAUUUAAGUUAACUAAUUAUUAUUAUAUUAUAAUUUAAUCCUUAGUUUAAUAAUUUGGCUCCAAAUUAAACGAUUAUUCAUAUUAGAAAAAAAAUUGUUUUACUUAAAGAGUAAUAUUUAAUUAAUAUUUAUAUUUAGAAUGUUAUUAUUAGUAGAAACAUAGGUAUUAUGAAUGAACUCGGCAACAUUUCUUUCAGCUGUAUAUCAAAAACAUCGCCAGUAGUUAUUAUUAUUGGUCAUUUCUGCUCCAUGAAAUUUAAAUAGCCGCAGUACCCUGACUGUGCAAAGGUAGCAUAAUCAUUUGGCUUAUAAUUGAAGUCUUGAAUAAAUGAAAGUAUGGGGGAAAACUAUAUAAUUAAUAUCUUUUGAACUUACUUAAUAAGUGCAAAUGCUUAUAACAACAUAAUAGACGAGAAGACCCUAGAAAUUUUAAAAAUUUGUGAGAAGUAUUUUUUGUUGGGGCAACAAAGUAACAUUAAACUUACUGUAUUUGACAAGAAACAUAUAGAUAGAGUAAUUACUCUAGGGAUAACAGCGUAAUAUUAUAAUGUUUGCGACCUCGAUGUUGGACUAGAGCACGAUUGCUUAGAA